rnacentral:rRNA from 1 species
GUGGGGAAUAUUGGACAAUGGGCGAAAGCCUGAUCCAGCCAUGCCGCGUGUGUGAAGAAGGUCUUCGGAUUGUAAAGCACUUUAAGUUGGGAGGAAGGGCAGUAAGUUAAUACCUUGCUGUUUUGACGUUACCGACAGAAUAAGCACCGGCUAACUUCGUGCCAGCAGCCGCGGUAAUACGAAGGGUGCAAGCGUUAAUCGGAAUUACUGGGCGUAAAGCGCGCGUAGGUGGUUUUGUAAGUUGGAGGUGAAAUCCCCGAGCUCAACCUGGGAACUGCCUCCAAAACUGCAUGACUAGAGUACGGUAGAGGGUAGUGGAAUUUCCUGUGUAGCGGUGAAAUGCGUAGAUAUAGGAAGGAACACCAGUGGCGAAGGCGACUACCUGGACUGAUACUGACACUGAGGUGCGAAAGCAUGGGGAGCAAACAGGAUUAGAUACCCCAGUAGUCC